UACGUAGGGGGCGAGCGUUGUCCGAAUUCACUGGGCGUAAAGCGCGCGUAGGCGGACUUUUAAGUUGGGGGCGAAAUGCCGAGGCUCAACCUCGGAACUGCCUCCAAAACUGGGAGUCUUGAGGUAUGGAGAGGGAAGUGGAAUUCCAGGUGUAGCGGUGAUAUGCGUAGAUAUCUGGAGGAACACCCGUGGCGAAGGCGGCUUCCUGGUCAUAUCCUGACGCUGAGGUGCGAAAGCCAGGGGAGCGAACGGG
rnacentral:rRNA from 1 species